rnacentral:misc_RNA from 1 species
ACAGCUGCAGCAAGACCAA